AUUCAUGAGCACGGAAAUGCGUGCGCGUCUCUUUACUCUAUGGCUCCUGAGAGUGGAGGGAGUGUAGCCUCUCUAUCUCUUUCAGUUGCUGACGCCAUGGUCAGCUGUUUGUCUUCCUGGUCAGGCUUGGACCAGUGUCUCCCAGGCAGACAGGUGAGGAGCUGGGAGGUACGUGCCGUGCUCCACGCAGAGCUUCCUCUUUGAUCUCAGUCCAGACUCCACUUGGAACCCAGCCUUCAAAGAAAGGAAGGCAGGAGGGAUACGCUUCCUGCCGAGACACACACACUUCCUGCAGAGGCAGAUCACAGGCCCCCAUCUCUGCGGAGCUCAGUGAGACGCCACCACUUGGGGAAAUGCAAACAUGCCUUUGAUGCCACUACAGGGAGGAUAAAGACGGUCUGGAACCCCUUGUGGGUACAACGUAACUUCUCAGAACGGCACCAUCUACUCCCCUGGCUUUCCUGAUGAGUAUCCGAUCCUGAAGGACUGCAUUUGGCUCAUCACAGUGCCUCCGGGGCACGGAGUUU
rnacentral:sRNA from 1 species